UUGUACAGAUGUAUGAUCAGUUUUGCAGCCGCCGUCUCGUCUGAUCUGAAGAGGACUGGGCUUUCUACUCAGCAGCUCAGUCAUGCAGGCUUGCUCAUUUUUCUGCAUUUUCAGCAAAUCCAACAUUCAAUUACAAGAAACCAAUUCAUCAGCAAAGACAUUGAACUGCCCUGCUGUUACCAUGGCAACUAAAGAGGAUGACAAAAAAAACUUUACAAUUUUUUCUUUCUUCACUUUCUGCUUGUGAACCUCCACCCAUUGUCUGUGCGAUCUGAAGGAAAUAAGGACUGGCUGACAUCAUCUUAACACAAACACAAAACUGGAUUUUGUGACUGAUUUGCUGAGUGUUUAUGGAGGUUUUUAUGUUUGGAGAGUGGGAAUUGUUUUUAAAGCCUUCCAGGAAAAAUUCCCAAAACUUUUCUGAAUGAAUUACCGGUAACUAAAAAAUAAAUGUCAGUUGUAAAAGCAGACUUUGAAAAUGCAGAACAUCAAAUAAAUGAGAAAAGACUUGGUUACAUGA